UCAACAGGUUCUCAAUAGAUCUCCAGUCCGAGGAGAACACCUAUGGAGUGUGGGCCUGCUGGCUGGUCCCCGACAUAUGGCCCCCAACGUGGACCUUGGACGCGGGAGAAAUUAAUUGAGGGACCCCACUGCCGGAUGCAGAGCUCUGGUUAAUUAAGGAAGAAAGGAUCCAGAUUAUUGUAGUCGUUUCCACGGGCAGGCGACAUCCCGAAGUCCCUGGCUUACCACUGAGAUUCCAGCAUUUCAAAGGUUAAUUCGACUACCGGAGCCAGCAAAGAAUCAAUUUGCAUUAUCUUGAGACCUGUUCCCUGGCAACCGACUCCAGAGCCCUAGCAGAGGAUGUGCAACUCAACAAAGGACUUUUCCCAGCUCCACCUUCAGACUUCAGCAUCUAUGUGAGCGGCCUGGCCAGGAUUAUGUUGGCUGCUUUCAGAAAAUUUCAACAGCUCCCGGACUUUGCAGGUGUUUAUAGGCACAACUUGACAUUUUGUAUGGAUGGGUGGUGCAGAAGAUAGCACUCUCUCUGGCCGUGAGGUUAACUCAGGCAAAUACAUGCCCAGUGGCUGUCUGUGAUAAAGACAUGUCAUAAGCCCGGCUUUCCCUGUGCAAAAUUUGCCUGAGAGGACAGAGCCAGAGAGAGAGUAGCUCAACACACUGGUUAUGAUUCCCAUGCAAAUGUGUCGAGCCAUGUCCUUUACCCUGCAUUUGUUUUUAACGAGAGAGAGUGAAAUGUGGACUCCCUCCCCUUAGCCCGGAGAGUUUUGAAAAAACAGUGCCUCAGACCCAGGACUGUGGAUCCCACCUGUGGAGCGAAUCCCUGACUGCCAUAGAUCAAAGACUGCUGACAACUAUCUCACCUCUGUCUCAAUUGCCUUUGAAGGUCCAUCCCACCCGUCUCUUGUUUAUGUUAGAUGCUUUGACUAUUGCUGGUUUCGGUUCUCCCUUUAUGGUUUUGGUUUUGCCUUACUAUAUAAACCCAGUUUUCC